rnacentral:rRNA from 1 species
GAGUUUGAUCAUGGCUCAGGACGAACGCUGGCGGCGUGCCUAAUACAUGCAAGUCGAACGGUAACAGGAAGAAGCUUGCUUCUUUGCUGACGAGUGGCGGACGGGUGAGUAAUGUCUGGGAAACUGCCUGAUGGAGGGGGAUAACUACUGGAAACGGUAGCUAAUACCGCAUAAUGUCGCAAGACCAAAGAGGGGGACCUUCGGGCCUCUUACCAUCGGAUGUGCCCAGAUGGGAUUAGCUUGUUGGUGGGUAACGGCUCACCAAGGCGACGAUCCCUAGCUGGUCUGAGAGGAUGACCAGCCACACUGGAACUGAGACACGGUCCAGACUCCUACGGGAGGCAGCAGUGGGGAAUAUUG